CAGAUGAGCGAGGAUGGCUCUGUAUGUUUAUCUUUCAGAAAGUGCUUUGGAUGAGCACAAUCUACAUUGAUGUCAAUAAAGAUCUCGAUUUAAACCUCACCUUAAAAAAGAUCUUGUAUGUGUUUGGAUCAGUUGUUCUCGUUUUAUUGAACUCUGCUGCAGCAAUAAUAAAAACAAUUCAUGGCUUUGAUUGGGAUUUGAGAAUCAUUGUCUUUUCCUCUGAAAGUUGCUUUAUUUUUUUUCUGCUGCUUCUGCUCAUAUUUGGACCCUGUAAGUACAAGAGGAAUUAUUUUUGUUUUCAUUACAAAUUUAUAACCUGUUUAAUGGCUUAUAUAAGUCAUUUUUAGAUAAAAGCAUCUGCCAAAAGCAUAAAGUCUAUUUUUGUUCACAAGAGAACACUUUAAACUAGUCACAAAUUGGUUUAGGCAUGCAGUCACUGGCUGAUAAGACCUUUACAUACAGUCUACUAACAAUCCCUUUGUUCUCUACAUGGGCUGAUUGGCUUCUGCUACGUCUGCAGCCAGUAGGUUUGCCUACGCAGCUUUGAAAGGUUAAAGAUGGGAAAACAAACAGAUAUUGAGAUAUUGCUUUAACAUGGUGAUAAACCAUACAUGUAAUUUAUGUCAAGCAAACUGUGGAAAAAACAAUAAAAACUAGCAACCCCUGCUGCCAGCAAUUAACCAUGAAAUCAAGAAAAACAGCAAUAUACUGUAAAACAAAGUCAAAUUUACUUAUUACUUACUAGUUACU